GGGGGCGCGGAGCGGAGUUAGGGUCGCCAGGCCGAGCCGAGGUGGGACGGACCGACGCAGAGAGGAAGGGAAGCCACCUGGCCUGAAGAUCCUGUCUCUAAGAUCCCAUUCUGAGGCUUCGAGGGUCUGGCUUGAGCAGCACAGACAGGGACGUGUCUAACCGGGAUGACCAUGAGGUCUCAUCGCAGUUUGCCACUAACCAGAUAAGGAAAUGGCAGCUGACCCAGGUCAAGGAAGUUCCUGAGGUCCCAGGGCUAAUAAGUGGCCUGACUCCACCACCAGCCCCCAGGAGGAAGCCAACCCCAGCCCUAGAAAAACCCAAUUCCUGAGUGAGUGCUGUAAACCAAAAAUAAAAUUCUAAGCUUCCCAA
ensembl:lncRNA novel transcript